UUCCGUAGGUGAACCUGCGGAAGGAUCAUUAAUGAAACUUCAAAGUCGGCCAAAGGUUGUUGCUGGUGAUUAUUCACAUGUGCACGCCUUUGGUCGCAAAUCCACACACACCUGUGCAUCUAUGACUCGAGGUUGUAAUGACUGAGAGUAACUUUUAUACACUCUUGUAUGUAAUGGAAUGUCUUUUUGUGCUAUAAUGUACAAUAUAAACAACUUUCAACAACGGAUCUCUUGGCUCUCGCAUCGAUGAAGAACGCAGCGAAAUGCGAUAAGUAAUGUGAAUUGCAGAAUUCAGUGAAUCAUCGAAUCUUUGAACGCACCUUGCACCCUUUGGUAUUCCGAAGGGUACGCCCGUUUGAGUGUCAUUGUAAUCUCACUUCUACAACUUUAUUGUUGUUUGAAUGUGGACUUGGAUGUUGCCGUUUUAUCACGGCUCGUCUUAAAUGCCUGAGUGUACCCUGUUUUGCAGCGUAUCCAGUGUAAUAAACAUUUCACUAGAGUUGGUUGAAAGACCACGUUGACUAUAUGGGCUCUAUGCUUCAAACCGUCUGCCAUGUGGACAAUUUCUUGACAAUUUGACCUCAAAUCGGGUGGGACUACCCGCUGAACUUAAGCAUAUCAAUAAGCGGAGGAAAAGAAACUAACAAGGAUUCCCCUAGUAACGGCGAGUGAAGAGGGAAAAGCUCAAAUUUUAAAUCUGGUGUCUUUGACUCCCGAGUUGUAAUCUAGAGAAGUGUUUUCCGUGUCGGACCGUGUACAAGUUCCCUGGAACGGGGCGUCAUAGAGGGUGAGAAUCCCGUAUAUGCCACGGACUACCGAUGCUCUGUGAUACACUCUCAACGAGUCGAGUUGUUUGGGAAUGCAGCUCAAAAUGGGUGGUAAAUUCCAUCUAAAGCUAAAUAUUGGYGAGAGACCGAUAGCGAACAAGUACCGUGAGGGAAAGAUGAAAAGCACUUUGGAAAGAGAGUGAAACAGUACGUGAAAUUGUUGAAAGGGAAGCGUUUGAAGUCAGUCGCAUCUGUUGGGGUUCAGCCUGGCUUUUGCCUGGUGUAUUUCCUUUCCGAUGGGUCAGCAUCAGUUUCGACCGAGGGAAAAAGACAUUUGGAAUGUGGCUGUCUUCGGGCAGUGUUAUAGCCUUGUGUUGUAUGUCUCGGUUGGGACUGAGGAUUGCAGCGCGCCAUAAAUGGCCGGGGGUCGCUCCUCUCGACAC
rnacentral:rRNA from 1 species